CCCCUUUGCCAUGGCGCCGCAAUUCCAAGGAGUAUCCCUGCAACCUUCCGAGAGUAUUGGGAUACUUCGGAUCGACAUUUCGAGCGUUGUCCAGUUUCGGAGUCAUUUGGAAGGCAAAGCCAAGUUGGCGUCUAAAAUGCUGGGAGUCCUCAACAGGACUUUUUUGCCACGUACCGUCCAGCUAUGGAAUGAGCUCCCCUCCACGGUGUUUCCCGAGCGCUAUGACAUGUCCUUCUUCAAACGAGGCUUGUGGAGAGUAUUAAGCGGUAGGCAGCGGCUUGGCUCUGCCCCUGGCAUUGCUGAAGUCCAUGGGCGACGGUAACCACUCACCAUCAGGUGGGCCGUAUGCUCGUCUGCCUACAAGGGCAAUAAUUUUUUUUUAUUAGGUAUUUAAUUGAAUUAAAUAUCUAAUGGGAGACUGAUAAAAUAAUCUUACUAUCUUAUUUUUCUAGUUUUAAUGGAAGAGAGACUUGUCUAUAUUUAAACUAUGUAGCUAUACUAAUCCAGCAUAAACAAGCCGCGGCAAUAAGGAAUCGAAUAUAAAAUGGCGGCGGCGAUCAUGCGCUCUCGCUCUAAACUAUUGCUAUCUUUAGUCGCACACGGCGCGUACUGCAUGCAAAAAAAUAUCAUUUCUGACUUUGUUCUGUCUUCUGACACUGUCUCGACGCGCUCUGUUUUCUCUCAAAUUCUGUUGUUAUUUGUUGCAUUUGUUCGUUAUUUCGUUGUUAUUGUUAUCGAUUUUUUGUGCCACGUGUAGUAAAUAUUAUGGCCUCUCACAAACGAGGAAAAGUCCUUCACAGUGAUGCACGCGAAAUCGUGUAUAUCGUUAUUAAAUACUUUGAAGAGGAAAAUAAUCUCGAGCGGUAUCAUCCAUUCGAGUAUAGUAAUGAUCGUGCUGCCAUGGCCACGGGAUUAUCAGUAAGCACAAUUGUGAAGAUAAAAAAAGAAGGCAAAUUAGCUGAGCAGACGAAAACGAGGAUUCGUACUCCGAGCAAAGGAAAACGUGGUCAAAAUAGCACCAGAGUUCCAAUUGACACUUUUGACAUCUGUGCGAUAGGCAGUAUUGUCAAUUCAAUCUAUGAUGUGCGGAAGCUUCCAACGCUGAACAAGAUAUUGGCAGCAGCCAAAAAGGAUUUAAAUUAAAAUUAAAUUAAAUUAAAAGGGCCAAUAAAAAAACUGUAGUGUGGACGAGAGUUGGAUCCAUAUUCACUACGCGGUGAGCAAAUGCUGGCAGAGCUCUAGGGACAAAGGAGUUAGAAAAAAUUAUAGUCCUGGUCAAAGGUGGAUAAUUGUUCACGCAGGCAGCGAGUACGGAAUUGUGCCCGGUGUUGAUUUGCUUUUUAAAAUAAAAUCAAAGAAAGGCGAUUACAAUAACGAAAUAAUGAAUGGAAAAAAAAAGUUGGAAAUAUUUAAACGAAAAAUUAAUACCCAACCUGCCACCAUCAUCCAUACUAGUAAUGGACAACGCGUCGUAUUAUUCGAUGCAAAUUGAAAAAGCGCUAUCAUCGGCUACCCGCAAAGCGGAUAUCAAAACUUUUAUGAGAAAACACAACAUCACAUUCGAAGAAGAAUGCACAAAAGCAGAGCUCCUGACACAGUUGAGAAAAGAAUUACCACAAAAACGUUAUGUUGUGGACGAGUUGUUAAAAUCACAUGGGCAUGAAGUGCUCCGAUUACCCCCAUACAAUUGCGACUUAAAUUUUUUUUUUUAUUGCCUUUGUAUGCAGACGAGCGUACGGCCCACCUGAUGGUAAGUGGUUACCGUCGCCCAUGGACUUCAGCAAUGCCAGGAGCAGAGCCAAGCCGCUGCCUACUGCCUCAUACUCUCCACAAGCCUCAUUUGAAGAAGGACAUGUCAUAGCGUUCGAGAAACACCGUGGAGGGGAGCUUAUUCCAUAGCCGGAUGGUACGUGGCAAAAAAGACCUCUGGAAACGCACUGUGGAUGACCGCAGUGGCUCCAGGUAGUAUGGAUGAACUCUACUCCGGUGGCGGGCGGUGCGAUGGUAAAAACGAGACGUUGGUAUCAUCUCGAACAAUUCCUCAGAGCACUCCCCAUGGAACAUGCGGUACAAAAUACAGAGGGAACCGAAGUCCCUCCGCAGACCCAGAGGUUCCAAACGAUCCGUGAAAAUGGGAUUACCGACAAUCCGAACGACCCUCCGCUGUAUGGAGUCAAAUGAACGAAGCUGGUAUUUGGGAGCCCCGGCCCAGAGAUGGGAGCAGUACUCCACGCGAGGCCGGACUUGUGCUUUAUAGAGCAAAAGUCUUUGUCCAGGCGUGAAGUACCGCUUCGCUCUGUUGAGGACUCCCAGCAUUUUGGACGUCAACUUGGCUUUGCCUUCCAAAUGACUCCGAAAUUGGACAUCGCUCGAAAUGUCGACCCCAAGUAUCCCGAUACUCCCGGAAGUUUGCAGGGAUACUCCUUGGAAUUGCGGCGCCAUGACAAAGGGGUCCUUCUUCGCAGUGAACGUGCAAACUUGCGUCUUUGACGGGUUGAAUUGAACCAAGUUCAAUUCACCCCAUUCGGAGACUCGCAACUCGUAGUCAGCAGGCGCUUGGUGACCUUGAGCUCUUCGAGGAUGGAGACAUUGGUUCUCAUAGCUGUCCAAGGAAUGAGUAGCAGCUUUUUCCAACACCACUUUUCAAAGGCAUCGAUCUUUUUGCGUCCUAUUUUCCUGAGACACCAAGUCUCCAUUACUUAUUAUUCUCCACUAUUAUUACAAUCAAUAGCUGUUAAAAUGUAAAUUCCCAUUCUCGGUCAAAAAGACCGCCCCCGGUCGUGCCAGAUGCAAAGGUACCCAUUACACCAGUCGCGUUGCCGCGCUGGAUAGCAGUGGACAGCCUCUGCACCAGGAACAACCCGGAGCGGGGGUCAAAACCUUUCUCCUUCAGUCUCCGGCUUACGUCGACAAAAAAACUUUUCGCUUCUGCGCCCCAACAACCAACCGACGUCUCAAAAGCCAACGGCACAAAAAUACAUUUAUUGAUAAGGGGCGUGUAUUUUUCCCUUUUUUUAUGGGCGGCAAGCUUGGCAGCCGCGCCGGUCGUUCGAGUUGUGCGACUUACGGCCUGGCCACGGGGAUCGGCGGUGCGAACAGCGAAGCGGUGGACGAGGCGACCAUUCGCGCAGCACCGUUUGCAGGCCACGGGUACUCACGUUCGCCGCCGCGACUAGUAAGGAAGUCCGACAGCGAAAUGUCUAUAUCGAAAUUAUCUCGAUAUUGCUUACAAAUUAAUAGCUUUUUGGUUCAGGACCUAUUAUUUGGAAAAUAUUGUGAAGUACAUGAUUUGAAUAAGAAUCGGAGUAUACCUAAAGAUGGAGAAUUCCACAAGAAGUACGAGAAAUACUUUGGGUGGCUAGACUUCCAAAUAGCUGGUCUAGCUAGUAUUUCAGCAAUUUUUUUUUUUUAUUGCUUAGAUGGGUGGACGAGCUCACAGCCCACCUUGUGUUAAGUGGUUGAUGGAGCCCAUAGACAUCCACAACGUAAAUGCGCCACCCACCUUGAGAUAUAAGUUCUAAGGUCUCAAGUAUAGUUAUAAUGGCUGCCUCACCCUUCAAACCGAAACGCAUUACUACUUCACGGCAGAAAUAGGCAGGGUGGUAGUACCCACCCGUGUGGACUCACAAGAGGUCCUACCACCAGUAAUUACGCAAAUUAUAAUUUUGAGGAUUUCAUUUUUAUUACACGAUGUUAUUCUUUCACCGUGGAAAUCAAUCGUGAACAUUUGUUGAGUACGUAUUUCAUUACAAAAAUUGGUACCCGCCUGAUAUUCGAACACCGGUGCAUCGCUCAACACGAUUGCACCGGACGUCCGUUAGGCCACGACGACUUUAAAAAUAUAAAAUAAAAAAUAUAAAAAUUUCGGCGUUCAUUUUUCGCGGCGAAAACAACUAAACUCAUUUAAUCACUGUACUAUUCGCCGCGACUACCGCUCGACUCCGUGGCUCGCGCCGUCCGUAUUCAUGCAUUUGUUUUGCUCGCCCGCCGCAUCGCGCGAUUCGCUCGGUACAUUUCGCCGGUCGCUUCGCCGGUCGCCGGUGCGCGUGGCUUGUUAGGUACAUUUCUAUGCGCUUGUUUUAGUCGCUAGACGCUUCGCCGUUCGCACCGCGCGAAUAUUCGUAUCGGCGAAUGUCCCGUGGCCAGGCUGUUAGAUGACUGGCAGCAAAAGUGUCUACGCAAGUUGCAUCCCAAAUGAGAGACGUCCCCCUCUGCCAGGGCACCAAAGUAAAGUAAAGUAUAUUCUCAUUUUUUUAAUUUUUUUACAAUAAACAUUUUUUUCUUUC